GCCAAGUGCAUUGGCAUGCACCUGUAAUCCCAGCGGCUCAGGAGGCUGAGGCAGGAGGAUGACAAGUUCAAAGCCAGCCUCAGCAAUGGCAAAGUGCUAAGCAACUCAGUGAGACCCUGUCUCUA
rnacentral:sRNA from 1 species